AGAUGAGGCAGAAAUGGGAGGCAGGGGGAACACAGACUGAUGAUACAGGUCUCUUUAUUAACCCUUAGAAAAUUGCCUAUUUCCCAGGUAUGUAUCCCAUGAAUGACAGAUAAGCCAAGUUGUGCAGACCAGAUCCACAAUCCAAUCAGAAGUGGAAGAUCCUCAGUGAGCUCUGGGGUGUGCAGAAUUGGGGUUCUGAGUUGGCCAGCUGCAGGGAUGGGCCUGGGUCACAAAGGAUCUGAAUUGUCCAUAAUUUGUGACAAAAGCUGGGGUGGACAGGCAGGUUGGAUUUGGUGUUCUAGUUCAGCUGUACUGAGAGCUAAUUGUUUCCAUGGGCAUUUUUAUGGUCAGGCUGGGGAACUAGUGGGGAAAAGGUUCUGGCAGUUGUGUAGUUGGGGAGAAAAGCAGCCCAAAAGGGAAAGACAUUGCUUUGGGACAGAGGAAGCUUUGCUAAGUAGUGAUACAGUCUAGCAACACACCAGUGCCAUCCAUAGCUUAUCUCCACUCUGUAUCCCCCACAAGUGACCUCACAGCCAAUUGACCAACCCAUGAAAGCAGGCAGACCGGUAGAGUCCGUUUGUUGCGGGAAGCACUAAGGUGUCAUAGGGAUGACCCAGAGGACCUGGAAGCAGAUGUAGUAAAUAGGCUGUGUCAUGAAGUUGUUUUCGACUGUGGGUUUUCCCUCCUCAUACUUCCAUUUGCCAUUGACUCCUGAACAAGUCUGUCUUCUCGUGUCAUUCCUUGUGUUUUGACUGAAACAAAAGUCCAACAUUAAUGGGAGGAAGGAGCCAGGGGCGACUCGACAUUUUCAGAUUCUGAUCUCAUUUAAACCAAGCAGGGUAAAUCCAGAGUCAUUCCAUAACUUCAGUGGAGUGACUCUGGAUUUGCAGUAGGGUAUUUGAGAUCAGGCUCUGGUCCUCUGCUUUUGAAUGACAGAGGAAUAUUAGCUGUGGAAUAACAAGACUCCUGAUACUCAUCCAGGGACAUUAUGGGAGGCUGUGCAAGUAGGCUUAAAGAGACACGCAACAAUGAUGAGAGAGUCGCAUACAAAAAAGAGGUAACCAAGAACAAUCAGUAGAGAAUUUGGCUUCAUCGUUAGCUGACAUUACCAUACUGAUCUCAA